AACGAAAAGUGGCGCACGGGUGCGUGACGCGUAUGCAACCUACCUUAUUCAGGGGGAUAGCCCGAAGAAAUUCGGAUUAACACCGCAUAAAAUCACAGACCAGCAUUGGUUAAUGAUCAAAUAUUUAUAGGAAUAAGAUGGGCAUGCGUGUCAUUAGCUAGUUGGCGGGGUAACGGCCCACCAAGGCGACGAUGACUAGGGGAUCUGAGAGGAUGACCCCCCACACUGGUACUGAGACACGGACCAGACUCCUACGGGAGGCAGCAGUAAGGAAUAUUGGUCAAUGGAGGCAACUCUGAACCAGCCAUGCCGCGUGCAGGAAGACAGCCCUCUGGGUCGUAAACUGCUUUUAUUCGGGAAUAAACCUUUCUACGUGUAGAGAGCUGAAUGUACCGAAGGAAUAAGGAUCGGCUAACUCCGUGCCAGCAGCCGCGGUAAUACGGAGGAUCCAAGCGUUAUCCGGAUUUAUUGGGUUUAAAGGGUGCGUAGGCGGCUUAUUAAGUCAGGGGUGAAAGACGGUGGCUCAACCAUCGCAGUGCCUUUGAUACUGAUGAGCUUGAAUGAACUAGAGGUAGGCGGAAUGUGACAAGUAGCGGUGAAAUGCAUAGAUAUGUCACAGA
rnacentral:rRNA from 1 species